CAAUGAAGUACAACGCACAAGAUGGCGGAUGAUGAAUGGGAAGAAGAGGAAACAACAAUAUUGGUAGAAUUAAAUGGAUUAACAGAUUCUGAAUUCUUUAAGAAAGAAAAUGUAGCCUGUAAGAUACUUGGAGUGGACAGCGAUAAACCAUUAUUACAACUUGGUACUAAUUUAUUUAGUGGUGAAUACAAGGAUGUUCUUGGUACCUGUCUCAUCUUCGACAAAAAUACAGAUGCCGAUGAAACCAAUAUAAAGAGUGUUAAAUUUCACAGCAAAACUCAGAAAACUUUAGUCAUGCAUCGAACUUUCCUGAAUGAGAAAUCAGAAGGUGUGAUAGAGUUGUGUAAAGAUACAGCAACUACAGAACAAACGGAUCCUACAACUUAUGACAAACCACCAAUUACACAAGAAAAUACUUGAUCGGAUAUUUUAUUCUACAGUUCAAACACAUCAAUGAGCAAGAUGACUCGCUGGCAAUAUAUUUGAGAUGGAUACGAUUUCGUCUGAUACUCGUGAACUUUUGACCAAGCAUUUGAUAAAGAUGAGAUGGCCCUGUUUCUGUAACCUUGUGCUGUAGAACUGGUGGCUAGAGGUUUGGUAUUUUUGAGAUGGAUACAAUCUGGUGCUGUUGUACUAUUGGCCAAGUCUUUGGUAUCAAGCUGGUUUAAUCUAAGGAAAUGUUACAAAUCAGUAUAAAAUUAAUUUAAAAAACAAACGUGUUGAAUCAUUUAGGAGAAAGGUGACAGAAUAAAGAGACUUGGAUAAAACGAUCAUAAAAAAAACCUAAAUUUAUCUGAGAAACACAAGUUUUAUUUUGAUUGGUGGAUUGAUGGAUCGAUUGAUUUAUCAGUUGGUUUGUUGAUUGAAUGAUUGAUUGAUUGAUUAAUUGGUAGGACAACAUUUUAAGGUACUUCGAUCCAGACAAUGCUAGGCAAGAGACCACAUUUUUAACUUUCCCUGGCUUAAUAAUGUCUACUCAUUGCCUAUUUAUUUGGACCAGAUUUUCUAUUUAUUUGGACCAGAAAUGGAUUUUGAAAUUAAAAUGUCUUUUUAAAAGAGAAAUAAAACAGUUACUGGAUAAAAAAGA